AAGUCGAGCGCACCUUCGGGUGAGCGGCGGACGGGUUAGUAACGCGUGGGAAUAUACCUAGUUCUAAGGAAUAGCCUCUGGAAACGGAGAGUAAUACCUUAUACGCCCUUCGGGGGAAAGAUUUAUCGGAAUUGGAUUAGCCCGCGUUAGAUUAGAUAGUUGGUGGGGUAACGGCCUACCAAGUCGACGAUCUAUAGCUGGUUUGAGAGGAUGAUCAGCAACACUGGGACUGAGACACGGCCCAGACUCCUACGGGAGGCAGCAGUGGGGAAUCUUGGACAAUGGGCGCAAGCCUGAUCCAGCCAUGCCGCGUGAGUGAUGAAGGCCCUAGGGUCGUAAAGCUCUUUCGCCAGAGAUGAUAAUGACAGUAUCUGGUAAAGAAACCCCGGCUAACUCCGUGCCAGCAGCCGCGGUAAUACGGAGGGGGUUAGCGUUGUUCGGAAUUACUGGGCGUAAAGCGUACGUAGGCGGACUGAUCAGUCAGAGGUGAAAUCCCAGGGCUCAACCCUGGAACUGCCUUUGAUACUGUCGGUCUUGAGUUCGAGAGAGGUGAGUGGAAUUCCAAGUGUAGAGGUGAAAUUCGUAGAUAUUUUGGAGGAACACCAGUGGCGAAGGCGGCUCACUGGCUCGAUACUGACGCUGAGGUACGAAAGUGUGGGGAACAAACAGGAUUAGAUACCCUGGUAGUCCACACCGUAAACGAUGAAUGCCAGACGUCGGGUAGCAUGCUGCUCGGUGUCACACCUAACGGAUUAAGCAUUCCGCCUGGGGAGUACGGUCGCAAGAUUAAAACUCAAA
rnacentral:rRNA from 1 species